rnacentral:rRNA from 1 species
CCUACGGGAGGCUGCAGUGGGGAAUAUUGCACAAUGGGCGCAAGCCUGAUGCAGCCAUGCCGCGUGUGUGAAGAAGGCCUUCGGGUUGUAAAGCACUUUCAGCGGGGAGGAAGGCGUUAAGGUUAAUAACCUUGUCGAUUGACGUUACCCGCAGAAGAAGCACCGGCUAACUCCGUGCCAGCAGCCGCGGUAAUACGGAGGGUGCAAGCGUUAAUCGGAAUUACUGGGCGUAAAGCGCACGCAGGCGGUCUGUCAAGUCGGAUGUGAAAUCCCCGGGCUCAACCUGGGAACUGCAUUCGAAACUGGCAGGCUAGAGUCUUGUAGAGGGGGGUAGAAUUCCAGGUGUAGCGGUGAAAUGCGUAGAGAUCUGGAGGAAUACCGGUGGCGAAGGCGGCCCCCUGGACAAAGACUGACGCUCAGGUGCGAAAGCGUGGGGAGCAAACAGGAUUAGAGACCGGUAGUC